rnacentral:rRNA from 1 species
UACGUAGGGGGGCAAGCGUUGUCCGGAAUCAUUGGGCGUAAAGCGCGCGUAGGCGGCCCUGUAAGUCCGUUGUGAAAGUCGAAGGCUCAACCUUCGAAGCCGAUGGAUACUGCGGGGCUAGAGUCCGGAAGAGGCGAGUGGAAUUCCUGGUGUAGCGGUGGAAUGCGCAGAUAUCAGGAGGAACACCAAUAGCGAAGGCAGCUCGCUGGGACGGUACUGACGCUAAGGCGCGAAAGCGUGGGGAGCGAACAGG